GUUGAGGGCCACAGCCCAGUAGGGAUGACGCAUGGCAUUUUUGCCAGUAGUAGUGGUUGAAAGGUGACGCCAGUGAGUUCUCACGGAGUUCCCGUUGAGUUCCAGUUGAGCUCUCGCGGGGAUUCCCAGAGAGUUCCCAUUGGUUGGGGAAGUGCCGGAGAAGAGAUUUUUUGGCUGCUGGUUCCUGGACGAGCCAUGUGGCAUUCAGGAGGAUUCCCGGGGAGCGUGUGUG
rnacentral:lncRNA from 1 species